GGCAAGUCUGGUGCCAGCAGCCGCGGUAAUUCCAGCUCCAAUAGCGUAUAUUAAAGUUGUUGCAGUUAAAAGCUCGUAGUUGGACUUUAGGCAAGACGGCCUGGUCGCCCACUGGGUGUACUGGGAUCGUUGCGCCUCACCUUCGGGGAGCCAGUCGUGCUUCGGUGCGCUGGGGAACCGAGCCUUACCUUGAGGAAAUUAGAGUGUUUAAAGCAGGCUUAUGCUUGAAUACGUUAGCAUGGAAUAACAUUGAGUAGUACGUUUGGUUCUUAUUUUGGUUGGUUUGGACGGAACCAAAGUAAUGUAAUUAAUAGGGACAGUUGGGGCAUUAGUAUUCAAUAGUCAGAGGUGAAAUUCUUGGAUUUAUUGAAGACUAACUAAUGCGAAAGCAUUUGCCAAGGAUGUUUUCAUUAAUCAAGAACGAAAGUU
rnacentral:rRNA from 1 species